AUAGGUAGAGGGAAGGUCACACGUGUUAAGCACUGGGUGUAUACAAUGCAUAUUUGGUGUCGAGUUUGGCCGUCAGUCCCAGUAUACCUGGCAUGUUGGGUUCGCUUCGCUCUACGCUUUCGUUUGGUUCGUUUGGUUGGUUUGGUUCGUCUGUUCGUCUGUGCAUGCAUUGGUAUCUAGUUUUGUGGUGUUUGCCUGUUUAGGGCUGUGUGUGUGUGCGCGUCUGCACCAAUGUUGUGUGUGCGCGCGUAACUCUGCACGUAUUCCGGCCGGGCCGGGCCGGGCCGGCAUGUCUCUCGUCGUCGACUCUUGUGUUUCUCUGUUCAAUGUCUGAGCUGCAUUUAUCCCGAGGGAGUCACCAAUCACGCUCUUUCCAAAUGGAAACGUCAGUCGGUGAAUUGUCGACACAUUCAUGUUGGUUCUUCUUCUUCCUGCAUGGCUCUCCAAUCGUUCUCGGUUCUCGCUCUUUCAAGGCCUCUACUCUCUCGCUCGCUCGCUCGUUCCUUUGGAGAGGCAUCGAAAAUUGCUGCGCGGCUUCAAGUUGACCGGCUCGACGCUCGACGAUCGAGUAAAGUGUGGAAUAUGAACACCAUCGCCAGUUCAACACCAGUCCGCCACCCUUUUUGGGAAAAGCAAAUGCCUACAAUAUUCAAAGAGUUUCUUCAACCAUAUUAUACGAGACAAAUAUUUGACGCGCAUAAACUAUCGACACGAAAUGUCGAGGACUAUUAAGCCGUGUCGUUAGAUUGUCAGUUUGUAUUUGAAAAUCAGAUGAGCUCGCGCCUUCAGCUCAUUUUUGUUUUUUUGUUUUUGUCUAAAAGAUAAUCUCCGAAAAUGCUGGACCGUAGAAUUGCAUUUCCUUGAAAGUGAGUUUCUUUGGGGAUUUCGUUCGUUUCCCAUUAGGUCCGAUUUGUUUUCCAGCCGAUUUGGUGAAAACGAUUUCUCAACGCGCGCAACUUUUUCCCAUUUAUUUACUUAGUUUACUUUGACUCUACAUAGUAAUAGCAAUUAAAUUUCCUAUUGUAUUUGUCAACAUUUUCAACAGCUAAUACAGAUAAUAUGCUUUCAA